GAUGAACGCUGGCGGCGUGCCUAAUACAUGCAAGUCGAGCGAACAGACGAUGAGCUUGCUCCUCUGACGGUAGCGGCGGACGGGUGAGUAACACGUGGAUAACCUACCUAUAAGACUGGGAUAACUUCGGGAAACCGGAGCUAAUACCGGAUAAUAUAUUGAACCGCAGGGAUCAAUAGUGAAUGACGGUUUUGCUGUCACUUAUAGAUGGAUCCGCGCCGCAUUAGCUAGUUGGUAAGGUAACGGCCUACCAAGGCGACGAUGCGUAGCCGACCUGAGAGGGUGAUCAGCCACACUGGAACUGAGACACGGUCCAGACUCCUACGGGAGGCAGCAGUAGGGAAUCUUCGACAAUGGGCGAAAGCCUGACCCAGCCACGCCGCGUGGGUGAUGAAGGCCUUCGGGUCGUAAAGCCCUGUUGUUGGGAAAGAACAGAUGUGUAUGUAACUCUCGACGUCUUGACGGUACCUAAACAGUAAGCCCCGGCUAACUUCGUG
rnacentral:rRNA from 1 species